CGGUUAGCCUAGUGGUUAAGGCUAUGGAACCAGAAUCCGGAAAAGGCGGGUUCGAUUCCCGUUCCG
rnacentral:tRNA from 1 species